CUUAACACAUGCAAGUCGAGGGGCAGCAUGGUCUUAGCUUGCUAAGGCUGAUGGCGACCGGCGCACGGGUGAGUAACACGUAUCCAACCUGCCGUCUACUCUUGGCCAGCCUUCUGAAAGGAAGAUUAAUCCAGGAUGGGAUCAUGAGUUCACAUGUCCGCAUGAUUAAAGGUAUUUUCCGGUAGACGAUGGGGAUGCGUUCCAUUAGAUAGUAGGCGGGGUAACGGCCCACCUAGUCAACGAUGGAUAGGGGUUCUGAGAGGAAGGUCCCCCACAUUGGAACUGAGACACGGUCCAAACUCCUACGGGAGGCAGCAGUGAGGAAUAUUGGUCAAUGGGCGAUGGCCUGAACCAGCCAAGUAGCGUGAAGGAUGACUGCCCUAUGGGUUGUAAACUUCUUUUAUAAAGGAAUAAAGUCGGGUAUGCAUACCCGUUUGCAUGUACUUUAUGAAUAAGGAUCGGCUAACUCCGUGCCAGCAGCCGCGGUAAUACGGAGGAUCCGAGCGUUAUCCGGAUUUAUUGGGUUUAAAGGGAGCGUAGAUGGAUGUUUAAGUCAGUUGUGAAAGUUUGCGGCUCAACCGUAAAAUUGCAGUUGAUACUGGAUGUCUUGAGUGCAGUUGAGGCAGGCGGAAUUCGUGGUGUAGCGGUGAAAUGCUUAGAUAUCACGAAGAACUCCGAUUGCGAAGGCAGCCUGCUAAGCUGCAACUGACAUUGAGGCUCGAAA
rnacentral:rRNA from 1 species